AGAUUGGGCUGGUCCUGCAUCGCCGGCACCAGGUCAACGCUGCCGCAACAUCGAGAGAUGCCGAGUCUAGCCGCUUGUUUAAUGGUCUCUCAGCAAGUUUCCAGUUCUGAGAUUAUGCUCAGGAAUUGACAGCAUCGUCAAGAUGAUCAAGGUAAACAUACACAGUAAACGUAGAUCAUGAGAAAGGAUAAACGACAAAAAAGAAAACAGAUCUGGUAGUUAACCAAGAUGUGUGAAACUAGUUUUUUUUCUUGAAGUUGAGCUUUAGUGUGUCAGUGGUGUGUGCUCAGGAUCAACCAUAAUGCUUUAAAAAGGAUCAGUAGUUGUUUAUUUCUCAAUUUACUCUGGUUACCCAGUUUGAUGAUUAACUUAUUAUUACCUCGAUCCUCCUUACUUGGUAAAGCAGUAAUCUCACAAGUUCAGGUGUAGAAAUAGUAAACUGAAAGGAUUCAUUGUGUACUCUUAAGGUACACACCGUUGGAACUAUUUCGAAACAUAUAUUUGUAACGGCUAAUUAGAAAGGAAGGUAAGCCCUUCUCCAUUACAUUCCAGAUUUUUGUAUUUGGAUGCCAUGCCAUCAUAACGAUAAUUGCACAUACCAUAGUAUAUGUUCUAUCUCAUGCUAUCGGACUGCUUCAUGGAGCAAACACAAAAGGUUGUGACGGUAUUCAAUGCUGUCUAAUAGUGUUUCUAGUUUUAAAAGCUUUCAUAUAUGUUCUUGUUUUCUACAGUCAUGUUAUAGGUGCCAUGUUCUUCCUACCCGUUGCUAUUGCAACUGAAAGGUAUGCGGAUUUUUGGUUUGUUAUUUGUCUGAAUUAUAUGGUAGGUAAAAGUACAAGACGGAGGUAAAAGUGAUGGUGUCUUGGUUGGCUGGCAUUUUGUGAUCCUAAUGGUGCACGUGCACUCAACCAGUUCCAUCAGAAUGUUGUAAACUUGCUAGCGUCUGUUGUAGAUACUCUUUAAAGAAGAAUGAACAAGAUUGAAGCUCUUAUAAAGGGAGAAGAAAGGACCAAAGAAGAUUGUUGACGUUAGCUUGGAGAUCUAGUCCUAUUUUACAAAUGUUUGAUAAACUUCCAUGGAUUUUGGCUUUUGUAAUAGGAAGUACAAUUUAAGUUCCGUAUGGAUAUUUGCUAGUGUGAAA